UAAAGUAUAAAAAUAAGAAUAUGAUGUUGGUUCAGAUUAAGCGCUAAAUAAGGACAUGACACAUGCGAAUCAUACGUUUAUUAUUGAUAAGAUAAUAAAUAUGUGGUGUAAACGUGAGUAAUUUUAUUAGGAAUAUAUGAACUAUAGAAUAAGUUAAAUACUUAAUAAUAAAUUAUAUAAAAAAGUAAUAAUUAUAUAAUAAUAAAGGAUAUAUAUAUAUAUAUUUAUCUAUAGUCAAGCCAAUAAUGGUUUAGGUAGUAGGUUUAUUAAGAGUUAAACCUAGCCAACGAUCCAUAAUCGUUAAUGAAAGUUAGAACGAUCACGUUGACUCUGAAAUAUAGUCAAUAUCUAUAAGAUACAGCAGUGAGGAAUAUUGGACAAUGAUCGAAAGAUUGAUCCAGUUACUUAUUAGGAUGAUAUAUAAAAAAUUAUAUCUAUAAAGUAUAUAAAUAAUAUAUAUAAAUUGAUUAAAAAUAAAAUCCAUAAAUAAUUAAAAUAAUGAUAUUAAUUACCAUAUAAUAAUAAUAUGGAUAUAUAAUAAUUAUAAUAUUAAUUUAUUAUAAUAAAUUAUAUAUUUUAAUAGUCCUGACUAAUAUUUGUGCCAGCAGUCGCGGUAACACAAAGAGGGCGAGCGUUAAUCAUAAUGGUUUAAAGGAUCCGUAGAAUGAAUUAUAUAAUUUAGAGUUAAUAAAUUUAAUUAAAGAAUUAUAAUAGUAAAGAUGAAAUAAUAAUAAUAAUUAUAAGACUAAUAUAUGUGAAAAUAUUAAUUAAAUAUUAACUGACAUUGAGGGAUUAAAACUAGAGUAGCGAAACGGAUUCGAUACCCGUGUAGUUCUAGUAGUAAACUAUGAAUACAAUUAUUUAUAAUAAAUAUAUAUAUAUAUAAAUAAUAAAUGAAAAUGAAAGUAUUCCACCUGAAGAGUACGUUAGCAAUAAUGAAACUCAAAACAAUAGACGGUUACAGACUUAAGCAGUGGAGCAUGUUAUUUAAUUCGAUAAUCCACGACUAACCUUACCAUAUUUUGAAUAUUAUAAUAAUUAUUAUAAAUUAUUAUAUUACAGGCGUUACAUUGUUGUCUUUAGUUCGUGCUGCAAAGUUUUAGAUUAAGUUCAUAAACGAACAAAACUCCAUAUAUAUAAUCUUAAUUAUAUAUAAUUUUAUAUUAUUUAUUAAUAUAAAGAAAGGAAUUAAGACAAAUCAUAAUGAUCCUUAUAAUAUGGGUAAUAGACGUGCUAUAAUAAAAUGAUAAUAAAAUUAUAUAAAAUAUAUAAAAAAAUAUAUUUAAUUAAUAAUAUAAAACAUUUUAACUUUUAAUAUAUUUUUAUAUUAUAUAUUAAUAUGAAUUAUAAUCUGAAAUUCGAUUAUAUGAAAAAAGAAUUGCUAGUAAUACGUAAAUUAGUAUGUUACGGUGAAUAUUCUAACUGUUUCGCACUAAUCACUCAUCACGCGUUGAAACAUAUUAUUAUCUUAUUAUUUAUUAAUAUUUAUAUAAUUAUAUUAUAUAAUUAAUUAAUAUUUAUUUAUAUCAGAAAUAAUAUGAAUUAAUGCGAAGUUGAAAUACAGUUACCGUAGGGGAACCUGCGGUGGGCUUAUAAAUAUCUUAAAUAUUCUUACA
rnacentral:ncRNA from 2 species